UUGUGGUUCUAAGUUGCCCGAUGCUCAGGCGGCCUAUGAGGCGGCCAACACUUUGCAGACAUCCGCUUUGGCGGGAGUUAACUUUAUGCUGCACACCG
rfam:SAR92 bacterium BACL26 MAG-121220-bin70 contig02045_1_121220-bin70, whole genome shotgun sequence.